AGCGGUAAGGCCUCUUCGGGGGUACACGAGCGGCGAACGGGUGAGUAACACGUGAGUAAUCUGCCCUUCACUUCGGGAUAAGCUUCGGAAACGGGGUCUAAUACCGGAUACGACACUUUCAGGCAUCUGAUGAGUGUGGAAAGUUUUUUCGGUGGGGGAUGUGCUCGCGGCCUAUCAGCUUGUUGGUGGGGUAAUGGCCUACCAAGGCUUCGACGGGUAGCCGGCCUGAGAGGGUGACCGGCCACACUGGGACUGAGACACGGCCCAGACUCCUACGGGAGGCAGCAGUGGGGAAUAUUGGACAAUGGGCGGAAGCCUGAUCCAGCAACGCCGCGUGAGGGAUGACGGCCUUCGGGUUGUAAACCUCUUUCAGUACCGACGAAGCGAGAGUGACGGUAGGUACAGAAGAAGCACUGGCCAACUACGUGCCAGCAGCCGCGGUAAUACGUAGGGUGCGAGCGUUGUCCGGAAUUAUUGGGCGUAAAGGGCUCGUAGGCGGUUUGUCGCGUCGGGAGUGAAAACACCGGGCUUAACUCGGUGCUUGCUUUCGAUACGGGCAGACUAGAGGUAUGCAGGGGAGAACGGAAUUCCUGGUGUAGCGGUGAAAUGCGCAGAUAUCAGGAGGAACACCGGUGGCGAAGGCGGUUCUCUGGGCAUUACCUGACGCUGAGGAGCGAAAGU
rnacentral:rRNA from 1 species